GUCUUGCCUGACCCCGUGAAGGCGAUGCCAAUCAUGUCCCGACCAGACAGAAUGGGUGUUGGGUGGAGGAUGCCCUUUUUCUUCAGGCCUCGAAGGAUAGCUGCAGGGAGCUUCAUUUCCUUGAAGCUCUUGAUGGGUGGCGGGAUACCGUCUCCUUCCACCAGGAUGUGGUACUUCUUCCGAACACGCUCAUGCUGCUCUUCUGACAUGCUCAGGAUAUAGCGCGGGGGUGUCCAACUAGUUUUGAUCGGAUCGUUGUAGGUAAUGCCUUUGCCCAUUUCCUUCACUGACAUCAAGGCUCGGCCUUCAGCCACACCCUCCAGAAUCUUUUCUUCUUCCUUCAGUUGCUUUUCCUUGGCGGACUCCUUGCGUGCUUCAGCCUUCUCUUUGAGGUGCUGGUGCUGAUCCAGGAGGCUGACAUUGGACUGAGGACCCAGCGUGAUAUUGUCCUCGUCUCCUCGGGGCUCACUGCCACUGCCACUGUCCUGUUGCUCUUCCUCUGCAGCUCCCUUGCGUCUUUGCUGCAGCAGCUUCUGGAGCAGAAGCUGCCUGCGCUGCCGCAAGGGCACGUAGGGCACGUAGUCCUCAUCUUCGUCCUUGGAGCGGCUCCCACCCGCAGUGGCUUGGUUCAGGCGAACUUGCUUCCGCUCAGGUUCCAAAUCCUCCAUCAUAGGCCACACAUGCGCAGUGUCAGGGCUGAAAAAACCACUUUUAAUUCUUUUUCAAUUCUCUCUGCCUGGCUUCCUUUCUGGCUUGGCCUGUGUUGACAAUAUAUUUGAUUUUCCUCUUCAGUAAAUAAAAAACAGAAGGACCACUGAGUCCUUUCUGAGAA
rnacentral:lncRNA from 1 species